rnacentral:rRNA from 1 species
GACGUAGGGCGCGAGCGUUGUCCGGAUUUAUUGGGCGUAAAGAGCUCGUAGGCGGCUUGUCGCGUCGACCGUGAAAACUUGGGGCUCAACCCCAAGCCUGCGGUCGAUACGGGCAGGCUAGAGUUCGGUAGGGGAGACUGGAAUUCCUGGUGUAGCGGUGAAAUGCGCAGAUAUCAGGAGGAACACCGGUGGCGAAGGCGGGUCUCUGGGCCGAUACUGACGCUGAGGAGCGAAAGCCAGGGGAGCAAACGGG